AGAGUUUGAUCAUGGCUCAGAUUGAACGCUGGCGGCAUGCCUUACACAUGCAAGUCGAACGGCAGCACGGGUGCUUGCACCUGGUGGCGAGUGGCGAACGGGUGAGUAAUACAUCGGAACGUACCUUAUCGUGGGGGAUAACGCAGCGAAAGCUGUGCUAAUACCGCAUACGCCCUGAGGGGGAAAGCGGGGGAUCGAAAGACCUCGCGCGAUUAGAGCGGCCGAUGCCUGAUUAGCUUGUUGGUGGGGUAAAAGCCCACCAAGGCGACGAUCAGUAGCUGGUCUGAGAGGACGAUCAGCCACACUGGGACUGAGACACGGCCCAGACUCCUACGGGAGGCAGCAGUGGGGAAUUUUGGACAAUGGGGGAAACCCUGAUCCAGCAAUGCCGCGUGAGUGAAGAAGGCCUUCGGGUUGUAAAGCUCUUUUGUCAGGGAAGAAACACCGGCUCUAACACAGUCCGGGAAUGACGGUACCUGAAGAAUAAGCACCGGCUAACUACGUGCCAGCAGCCGCGGUAAUACGUAGGGUGCGAGCGUUAAUCGGAAUUACUGGGCGUAAAGCGUGCGCAGGCGGUUAUACAAGACAGGCGUGAAAUCCCCGGGCUUAACCUGGGAAUGGCGCCUGUGACUGUAUAGCUAGAGUGUGUCAGAGGGGGGUAGAAUUCCACGUGUAGCAGUGAAAUGCGUAGAUAUGUGGAGGACUACCAAUGGCGAAAGCAGCCCCCUGGGAUAACACUGACGCUCAUGCACGAAAGCGUGAGCAGCAAACAGGAUUAGAUACCCUGGUAGUCCACGCCCUAAACGAUGCUGACUAGUUGUUCGGGAUUUACAUCCUGAGUAACGUAGCUAACGCGUGAAGUCAGCCGCCUGGGGAGUACGGUCGCAAGAU
rnacentral:rRNA from 1 species